GGAAACCGACACGGGGGCUUCGCCGCCGGUUCCCGCAUCCGCAGGAACGGCGAGGCUGAGAUGAGGGCUACCUCGACCGAUUGAACGUAUACCGGGUAAUGCCGGCGCACGGACGUCGCUCUUUUCCCGUG
rnacentral:ncRNA from 1 species